UCCGUUAAUUCAAAUAUAAACUUAAUACAUCAACAUUUUACCAGCUAAAUAGAUAUCCAUUACUCGCAACUAAUUUUGUUAUAACUUAGUCAAAACUUAAAUCACUACCUCAAACGUUACCGCAGAACAAGACUUAUGUCUAUUGCACAAGUACAACAUUAACUAAACUAAACUAAUGGCGCAAAAACCAUUUCUACAAGGCUCUAUUACAUUCCACGGCCCACUAGAAAACACGUCAACAAAAUAAAAAAAAUUCUUACACCAAUGUUCUGCUCUUUGCCCACAAAUUGACAUUUCUUGGGGAGGAAAAACACCUUCAAAUUGUUUAUAAUUCCUCUCCUUAAACCCUAAAUCACUAUAUAAUUUUCCCCAAAUUUGUUGUUCUUCAAUUUGGUAAUCAAUCAAGUUUGUUUUUCUUCUCUUUGAAGAAUCUGCAGAUAAUGGAAGCAUCAAAAGCAGUUUGUGGGAAAGAAGCAUUGGAUCUUCUCAAUUGCGUUGUUGAUUCAAAUUACGAUGAAGAGAAAUGUCGUAAAUUUUUGCAAUCUCUUCGCCAGUGUGUCCUCUCCAAGAAAGUGAAGAAAUUCUCGCUACCUGACGAGAAGUCGCCAGAACUCCAGAAGUAAAUCAUGGCAGCAAAAGGCAAGCGUGAAUUGGUUAGUAGGAAUUAGUGUUGUAACGAGUUUAUAAAGGCAGCAUGUGUAGACCAUUGUUGAGAAUUUUGUAGAUAGAAUUGCUGUGGAAGGCUUGAGUUCUUGAGGCUGGUUUCAAUUUAUGAUUUACUAAGUUUUCUGGUCUUUCAAGCCAUCAAACAGAUAUUUUCUUUCAAUUGUUACAGGCGAAAUAUAAACAUGUCAAUUGAAAGGCAUUUUUCAA